rnacentral:rRNA from 1 species
AUACGGGGGGUGCUAGCGUUAUUCGGAAUCAUUGGGCGUAAAGGGCGCGUAGGCGGUCUUUUAAGUCAGAUGUGAAAGCCCUCGGCUUAACCGAGGAAGUGCAUUUGAUACUAAGAGACUUGAGUAUGGGGGAGGGAAGCGGAAUUCCUGGUGUAGCGGUGAAAUGCGUAGAUAUCAGGAGGAACACCGGUGGCGAAGGCGGCUUCCUGGACCAAUACUGACGCUGAGGCGCGAAGGCGUGGGGAGCAAACAGGAUUAGAUACCCUGGUAGUCCACGCAGUAAACUGUGAACACUAGGUGUAGCGGGUAUUGACCCCUGCUGUGCCGAAGCUAACGCAUUAAGUGUUCCGCCUGGGAAGUACGGCCGCAAGGUUAAAACUCAAAUGAAUUGACGGG